rnacentral:misc_RNA from 1 species
GAUGAAGAACGUAGCGAAAUGCGAUAAGUAAUGUGAAUUGCAGAAUUCAGUGAAUCAUCGAAUCUUUGAACGCACAUUGCGCCCCCUGGUAUUCCGGGGGGCAUGCCUGUCCGAGCGUCAUUACAACCCUCAAGCUCAGCUUGGUGUUGGGCCCCGCCGCCCCGGCGGGCCCUAAAGUCAGUGGCGGUGCCGUCCGGCUCCGAGCGUAGUAAUUCUUCUCGCUCUGGAGGUCCGGUCGUGUGCUCGCCAGCAACCCCCAAUUUUUUUCAGGUUGACCUCGGAUCAGGUAGGGAAACCCGCUGAACUUAAGCAUAUCAAUAAGCGGAGGA